CCUCUAUGUCGAUGAUUUAGCUCUCAUAGCAGAUCACUACCGAAACUAGAAAAGAAAUUUCGGGGUGGAAGCAAGGGUUAGAAUCAAAGGGCCUUUAGAGUAAAUGUAGCAAAAACCAAAGUAAUAGUAAGUAAAACAGCAAGGCGUACUCAAAAACACCCCC